rnacentral:rRNA from 1 species
AGCGAACGCUGGCGGCAGGCCUAACACAUGCAAGUCGAACGAACCUUUCGGGGUUAGUGGCGGACGGGUGAGUAACACGUGGGAACGUGCCUUUAGGUUCGGAAUAACUCAGGGAAACUUGUGCUAAUACCGAAUGUGCCCUUCUGGGGAAAGAUUAAUCGCCUUUAGAGCGGCCCGCGUCUGAUUAGCUAGUUGGUUGAGGUAAUGGCUCACCAAGGCGACGAUCAGUAGCUGGUCUGAGAGGAUGAUCAGACACAUUGGGACUGAGACACGGCCCAAACUCCUACGGGAGGCGGCAGUGGGGAAUCUUGCGAAAUGGGCGAAAGCCUGACGCAGCCAUGCCGCGUGAAUGAUGAAGGUAUUAGGAUUGUAAAAUUCUUUCAACGGGGACGAUAAUGACGGUACCCGGAGAAGAAGCCCCGGCUAACUUCGUG